UGUAAGGGUGGGGUCAUCUAAGAUAGCACAAGGGUUAAAGCCAGAAAUAACUUACUUCCAGUAAACGUACAUACAAACGUUCAACGACAAAGAUGGGAGUUACAGUUUAAGAAAUCAGCUGACCUUCAAAAAGCAGUGCAUUAGCGCUACAAAAAAGAAAAUUUGCUUAUCAAUUUGUGGUGUGGACUUUAGAACGGAUUGGACGAAGGUUUAAAACAAACUAAGUCUACAUGCAUUCGAAAAGACAUAGAAGAUGUCACUGAUGGAACUGCACAAGGCAAGAAAUGAUCAAUUUAAACAAAAAUGUAACUUCUGCACAGGUGCAUUGCAGAAUGUAAUUUGAAGGCAAUGAACAAAACUGUAAAUAGAAAUGCGCAGAUCAUUAGGUGUUGUAAAAAAGGGGUGGGAUCAUACAAGAUUUCUAUUCACCCAACUCCUUUUCAAGCACUCUGUCUUGUUUUAUCUGUCUAUUUUAAACUCUUGUGUUUAUUUUCAAAGAACAUGUCAAUCAAACGUUCGAGGCGGUGCCAGCAGGCACUACAUACGUUUAUUGAGGCAUCUGAUUUGUCAUUUUACAACUUAAAUAACUUACAAUAAAGAAAAAACAUAGUGAAAAAAAUUUAGGACUAGGACCAGAAGGUGUUAAGAAAAAGGCAUCAGAGCAAGAAUGGUUAUUCUGACAAAUAAAAAGACUUUGUAAUAGUUGUUUAUUUCUUUAUAAGUCGAUGGGAUUUUGGCGUCUUGCAGCCAGCAUACUUCCUCUUUGGAGUGCCAGGGGGAAGGGAUUUCUUUCUGUAGUUUCUACAUGCAGUCAAUGGAUCCUGACCAAAGCUGGUUUCCUUUGUUAGGGUGUCUGGUUUCACAGGUGUGAAAGUGCACCUUAACACUGCUGCUGACCAGAGGUCCUUGGUCUUUGAGGUACCUGGGACAUUGCAAAUUGCAUGCUGUAAAAUGUCCUGUUUUAGCCCAAUAGUUCACAAACUACUUUAAAAAUCUGAGCUCCUCUUCUGUGCUCUGUUGUUCCUCCAGUGUUCUCCUCCUCGCUGUGGUCUGUUGUUCCUGGACUUCAGUGUUCUCCUCCUCUCUGUGAUCUGUUGUUCCUGUUCAGGGUUCUCCCCCUCUCAGACUCUUGCGAGUGUAAUGUUAGCGGUUCCUGGCCGAUGGUGUAUUGAUGAUGCUGAUAGGUGUGAAACCUCCUGCUGAGCUUCAUCGGCUGGAAGUUGUUUGUGAAAAUCUGCACAUUUGAACCAUCAGUUUCAUUUACAAAAAGGAGCGUGUCUCCUGAAGCUCAUCAUGCCUCUGCUGUCCUUUUUCUGCCACAUUGCCAUGGCGACAGUGCCCUCCCGGGGUAAUGGGGGACGAGUGCGCCAGAGCUAUUUAUUCUCUCUUUCUGCCUCCCUCCUUCCAUCCAUCGGCCUCUCAUUUCUCUGUCUCUUUCCACCUCCUUCCCUGCCCUCUUCCUCCUGCAACCUUUCUUCUCCCUCCAUCUCCCUCCUUUCCUCUACUUUUCCCCUUCCCUGAUUGGUUCUCUUCCUCAAAAUGAGAUACUGCCUAAUGAGACAGAGGGUGAGGAAGAAAGGGAGGGGACGAGGAAGAGCAAGUGUCUUUAAAAAAGGAGAAAUAUUGUGGGGGAGGUGAUCUAUGCAGGAGCGUGUUCUUCUUUUCAAUGCCAGAGAACCUGAUGAUGUUACCUUUGAGUGAAACCUCACCCUUGUUCAUUGUGUCCAUCUGUAGGCCUGUGCACGUGUGUGAUCUGGAACGUGCACGCUCAGGCGUCCCUGAGGCGUCCUGAGGUCUGUGUCAGCGGUGAAGGAGCACAGUUCCUGAGCUUUCAGCUCUAUGAACAAGAAUCAGAGAUUUGUUUGUAUCUUUCUGCCUUGGAACAUUGUGUAGAUGAUGUUGUGUCAAUCAUGUUUUUCUUCAUUUCAGGAGGAACAGAACAAAAGGAGAAGAAACUUUGAACAUUUCUGGCCCAGAAAAACAACAACGAUGGGAGAUGAACCCAACUUUCCACGGACCAAAGAGAGGAGGUGCUGUAAGCUCUGUGUGUUUGGGGGAGAAAAAACAGCUGCAACAUGAAUCUGAAGAAGCAAGAAUUUUGAAAAAGUUUGGAAAUGUCUGCUGGGUAAAGGUGGUGUAAUAAGAAGCUUCAGGAGCGUCUUCAUGGAGGAGAGUCUGAUGAAUAGCACUACCUGCUUUUCUUUAUCCUGCUUUUUUCCCGUUUCUUGCAACCAAUGGUCAAAACAUCUCUGGGAAAAACCACAACAUGAACCAAACUGCAAACUACAUUGUGCUGAAAAGACAGACAGGAGCAGAAAAUAGAAUCCUCUCUAUGGGAUGGCAGAGGCUAAUGUUCUAUGGUCAGUUAAAGCCAUGGAACCUCAGGAAAAAAAACGAUUUAUUUAAUAUGUCCACACUCCGGGUAUUUGACACGCCAUCAAGGACUCGCUAAUCAGACGUUUAGCCCAUGGUGUUCACACAGGACAAGCAGGGUUGACCCAGCCACUGUGCCAGAGGAAGACAGGGAACUGAGAUUUUUCAUUUGGUCUGUUUAUUAAGCUGCACUUUGAGUAAUUUGUUGGUGGAUUUCUUAAAGACAGCCACUGUAAAAACAAUAAUAUGUAAGUGUAUUUAUUUAGGGCAGUGUUUUACAUUGUAUUGUGUAGUUUCCUCCCAUUUGUGCGAAUGGUGUAAUCACCCUAAACAUAAACCUCCUGAUGCUCUGCUCAUGUCACUCCAACGUUUUCUCAAUUGAGUUAUUGUAAGUUUACAGCCUGUGAAGCAGUAUGAUGUCUUUACAUUGACAGUGUGCAGAUUUGCUCCCGAUACGGAUCUUUCCGUGCCUUUUGUGAAACAGACACUAAAAUAUUCUAACAAACAUCCAUAACAUGAAAUAUGUCACAAACGGCCAGACGGCUGGUUCCACAUGCAGCAGGUUUAUUAGCACAGAGAGGAUGACAAGUGUCAAACACGGCUAAAGGUCCACAGAGCUAAAGCAGGGUUGAAGAGGCAGAGGUCAGACAUGGGCAUUAGGGAGCAGGCUCAGAAUAGUCACAGUUCAGGUGCAGGUUAGGGGGAGGCAGCAGGCAAAGUCAGAUAAGUAGCAGGAUUCAAUUCAGUUGAAUUUUAUUUCUAUAGCCCAAUAUCAAAACACAGCUGUCUCAAUGGGCUCCACACCGGUAAUUGUAUAAAACAUAAAAUCAGCCAUAAAAUACAAUAGCUGAUUGCUAAACUAAACUAAACUGGGCGUCCCCGGGCAUUCCUGGUCUAGGACCUUUCUUCUCUCUGAGAAAAAAAUUCUAACAAAAAACCAAACAGAUUCCAUGAAAAAAAAA